rnacentral:rRNA from 1 species
GUAGGUGGCAAGCGUUGUCCGGAAUUAUUGGGCGUAAAGCGCGCGCAGGGUGGUUCUUUAAGUCUGAUGUGAAAGCCCCCGGGCUCAACCGGGGAGGGUCAUUGGAAACUGGGGAACUUGAGUGCAGGAGAGGAAAGUGGAAUUCCACGUGUAGCGGUGAAAUGCGUAGAUAUGUGGAGGAACACCAGUGGCGAAGGCGACUUUCUGGCCUGUAACUGACACUGAGGCGCGAAAGCGUGGGGAGCAAACAGGAUUAGAUACCCUGGUAGUCCACGCCGUAAACGAUGAGUGCUAAGUGUUGGGGGGUUUCCGCCCCUCAGUGCUGCAGCUAACGCAUUAAGCACUCCGCCUGGGGGGUACGGUCGCAAGACUG